rnacentral:rRNA from 1 species
GACGAACCGUGCGAACGUUGUUCGGAUUCACUGGGCUUAAAGGGCGCGUAGGCGGCUUGCCGAGUCAGGGGUGAAAUCUUUCGGCUCAACCGGAAAACUGCCCCUGAGACCGGCCGGCUGGAGGGAGGUAGGGGCAGACGGAACUUCCGGUGGAGCGGUGAAAUGCGUAGAUAUCGGAAGGAACGCCGGUGGCGAAAGCGGUCUGCUGGAUCUCUUCUGACGCUGAGGCGCGAAAGCGUGGGGAGCAAACAGG